rnacentral:rRNA from 1 species
GACGAACGCUGGCGGCGUGCUUAACACAUGCAAGUCGAACGGUGAACGAGGGAGCUUGCUCCCUCCGGAUCAGUGGCGAACGGGUGAGUAACACGUGAGCAAUCUGCCCCGAACUCUGGGAUAAGCGUUGGAAACGACGUCUAAUACCGGAUACGACGCGGGAGGGCAUCCUCUCCGCGUGGAAAGAACUUCGGUUCGGGAUGAGCUCGCGGCCUAUCCGCUUGUUGGUGAGGUAACGGCUCACCAAGGCGACGACGGGUAGCCGGCCUGAGAGGGGGACCGGCCACACUGGGACUGAGACACGGCCCAGACUCCUACGGGAGGCAGCAGUGGGGAAUAUUGCACAAUGGGCGCGAGCCUGAUGCAGCAACGCCGCGUGAGGGACGACGGCCUUCGGGUUGUAAACCUCUUUUAGCAGGGAAGAAGCGAAAGUGACGGUACCUGCAGAAAAAGCACCGGCUAACUACGUG